AUGAACGCUGGCGGCGUGCCUAAUACCUGCAAGUCGAGCGAACGGACGAGAAGCUUGCUUCUCUGAUGUUAGCGGCGGACGGGUAAGUAACACGUGGAUAACCUACCUAUAAGACUGGGAUAACUUCGGGAAACCGGAGCUAAUACCGGAUAAUAUUUUGAACCGCAUGGUUCAAAAGUGAAAGACGGUCUUGCUGUCACUUAUAGAUGGAUCCGCGCUGCAUUAGCUAGUUGGUAAGGUAACGGCUUACCAAGGCAACGAUGCAUAGCCGACCUGAGAGGGUGAUCGGCCACACUGGAACUGAGACACGGUCCAGACUCCUACGGGAGGCAGCAGUAGGGAAUCUUCCGCAAUGGGCGAAAGCCUGACGGAGCAACGCCGCGUGAGUGAUGAAGGUCUUCGGAUCGUAAAACUCUGUUAUUAGGGAAGAACAUAUGUGUAAGUAACUGUGCACAUCUUGACGGUACCUAAUCAGAAAGCCACGGCUAACUACGUG
rnacentral:rRNA from 1 species